rnacentral:rRNA from 1 species
UACGUAGGUGGCAAGCGUUGUCCGGAUUUACUGGGCGUAAAGAGCGCGCAGGCGGUCGAUUUAGUCGCGUGUGAAAGCCCCCCGGCUCAACUGGGGAGGGUCACGCGAUACUGAUCGACUCGAAGGCAGGAGAGGGUAGUGGAAUUCCCGGUGUAGUGGUGAAAUGCGUAGAUAAUCGGGAGGAACACCAGUGGCGAAGGGCGACUACCUGGCCUGUUCUUGACGCUGAGGCGCGAAAGCUAGGGGAGCAAACGGGGAUUAAGAAACCCCGGUGAGUC